GCCCGGAUGGUCUAGUGGUAUGAUUCGCGCUUAGUAAGACUUCCCGAUUCGUACUAUAACUAUUACAAUUUACUAACAAUAACUCCAGGGGUCAACCCUUAGCAAAUAUGCGCGAGGUCCCCGGUUCGAUCCCGGGUUCGGGCC
rnacentral:tRNA from 1 species